UACGUAGGGUGCAAGCGUUAAUCGGAAUUACUGGGCGUAAAGCGCACGUAGGCGGACUCUUAAGUCGGGGGUGAAAGCCUGGGGCUCAACUCCAGAAUUGCCUUUGAAACGGGAUCGCUUGAGUCCGAGAGAGGAUGGCGGAAUUCCUAGUGUAGAGGUGAAAUUCGUAGAUAUUAGGAAGAACACCGGUGGCGAAGGCGGCGACCUGGUCCUUGACUGACGCUGAGGCGCGAAAGCGUGGGGAGCAAACAGG
rnacentral:rRNA from 1 species